rnacentral:rRNA from 1 species
GGAUUAGAGUUUGAUCCUGGCUCAGGAUGAACGCUGGCGGCGGUCCUUAAUCCAUGCAAGUCGAACGGGAACCUUGGGAAACUGAGGGGAGAAUUGCCGACGGGUGAGUGACACGUAGCUGACCUGCCCUCGAGAGGGGGACAACGCCUGGAAACGGGCGCUAAUACCCCAUACGCUCGUGGCGAUUAGACAGGCCACGAGGAAAGUGGUGACAUGCUCGAGGAGGGGGCUGCGGCCCAUCAGCUGGUUGGUGAGGUAACGGCUCACCAAGGCGAUAACGGGGAGGGGGCCUGAGAGGGUGACCCCCCACACGGGAACUGAGAGACGGUCCCGACUCCUACGGGAGGCAGCAGUAAGGGAUAUUGCGACAAUGGGCGAAAGCCUGACGCAGCAACGCCGCGUGUGGGAUGACGGCCUUCGGGUUGUAAACCACUUUUCGGGGGGAAGAGGAAGGACGGUACCCCCGGAAGAAGUCUCGGCUAACUACGUGCCAGCAGCCGCGGUAAAACGUAGGAGGCAAGCGUUAUCCGGAUUUACUGGGUGUAAAGCGCGUGCAGGCGGACUUUCAAGUCGCGUGUGAAAGCGCCCGGCUCAACCGGGCGAGGCCGCGCGAAACUGAAAGACUGGAGGCCGGUAGAGGCGUGUGGAAUUCCGGGUGUAGUGGUGAAAUGCGUAGAGAUCCGGAGGAACACCAGUGGCGAAGGCGACACGCUGGACCGAGCCUGACGCUCAGACGCGACAGCAUGGGGAGCGAACGGGAUUAGAAACCCCGGUAGUCCAUGCCGUAAACGAUGCGAACUAGGUGUGGCGGGUAACCAUUCCGGCUGUGCCGCAGCUAACGCGCUAAGUUCGCCACCUGGGGACUACGGCCGCAAGGUUAAAACUUAAAGGAAUUGACGG